rnacentral:rRNA from 1 species
CCUACGGGAGGCAGCAGUGGGGAAUUUUGGACAAUGGGCGAAAGCCUGAUCCAGCCAUGCCGCGUGCGGGAAGAAGGCCUUCGGGUUGUAAACCGCUUUUGUCAGGAACGAAACGCUCUGGGCUAAUACCCCGGGGUAAUGACGGUACCUGAAGAAUAAGCACCGGCUAACUACGUGUCAGCAGCCGCGGUAAUACGUAGGGUGCAAGCGUUAAUCGGAAUUACUGGGCGUAAAGCGUGCGCAGGCGGUUAUGUAAGACAGGUGUGAAAUCCCCGGGCUUAACCUGGGAACUGCACUUGUGACUGCAUAGCUAGAGUACGGCAGAGGGGGAUGGAAUUCCGCGUGUAGCAGUGAAAUGCGUAGAUGUGCGGAGGAACACCGAUGGCGAAGGCAGUCCCCUGGGCCUGUACUGACGCUCAUGCACGAAAGCGUGGGGAGCAAACAGGAUUAGAUACCCUGGUAGUCCACGCCCUAAACGAUGUCAACUGGUUGUUGGACGGCUUGCUGUUCAGUAACGAAGCUAACGCGUGAGUUGACCGCCUGGGGNGGACGGCGCGAAGGUAGUAACGUUACGAAGAAGUUAGNGGNGNGNGNGNGCGACGGACGACGACGAGGGAGGAGG